GUGAUCAAACUCGAUUUUCGUAAGGCUUUCGACUCUGUCUGUUGGACCUUGCUUCUGCACACUCUGAAGAUUAGGGGUUUCCCCGAUCGCUGGUGUGAUUGGAUCGAAGCUCUCCUUGCUACUGGAUCCACUCCUGUUAUGUUCAACGGAGUUCCUGGUAGGUGGAUCCAAUGCAAGAAUGGCCUUCUCCAAGGUGACACGCUUUCCCCC
rnacentral:rRNA from 1 species